UUCAUGGAGCUGAUUGAACGUGUGGAGCGCGGCGUGCCGCUGCCGGAGCUGCUGGCAGCCUUCAACGAGCCCAGCACCUCAGACUACCUGGUGGUUUACCUCCGCCUGCUCACCUCAGGCUGCCUCCAACGCCACCGCCGCUUCUUCGAGCAGUUCCUGGAGGGAGGGCGCAGCAUCAAGGAGUUCUGCCAGCAGGAGGUGGAACCCAUGUGCAAGGAGAGCGACCACAUCCACAUCAUCGCGUUGGCACGAGCGCUGCAGGUGCCGGUGUUGGUGGAAUACAUGGACCGGGGUGAGGGGGGUGCCACCAACCCCCACGUGUUCCCCGAGGGUUCACAACCCCGUGUUUGCCUCCUCUAUCGCCCCGGCCACUACGACAUCCUCUACAAGUGACCGCGCCGCUCGCACGGCCUCGCACGAGUCCCCCAAAGGCUCUGCAAGGCUUUGCACGAGGCCUGCGGGGCCGUGCGCUGCCCCCUGUGGUCUCACGAGGCUCUUGCACGAGCGCCACGCGGUCGUGUUUGGCCUUGCACGAGUCCCCUGGGGCUGUGCACGGCUUCGGCGGGUCUUGCACGAGGCCUGCAGGGUUCUGCGGGGCUUCCCGUGGCUCCGCAAGGUCCUUACACGAGCCUUUGCACGGCCGUGCGUGGCCUUGCACAAGUCCUGCAGGUCCCUGUCAGGCCUUGCACAACCCUCCAGGGUCUCGAGCAGCCUCACGAUGGCCUUGCACGAGCCCUGCGGGGCUUUGCACGAGUCCCCGUGCGCCCUUGCACGGCCCUUGUGCAUCCUCCCUCCCCUUCAGUUCCAAAUAAAGAUGUGGCCCCCCCUACUUGUGCAGGCGAGCAGCCUCACGAUGGCCUUGCACGAGCCCUGCGGGGCUUUGCACGAGUCCCCGUGCGCCCUUGCACGGCCCUUGUGCAUCCUCCCUCCCCUUCAGUUCCAAAUAAAGAUGUGGCCCCCCCUACUUGUGCACGUGUUUAUUGGAGGGGGUGCAUUGGUUGGGCUGGGGGCGGGGG
rnacentral:lncRNA from 1 species